rnacentral:rRNA from 1 species
CGUGCCAGCAGCCGCGGUAAUACGGAGGAUCCAAGCGUUAUCCGGAUUCAUUGGGUUUAAAGGGUGCGCAGGCGGAAUGAUAAGUCAGUGGUGAAAUCCUACAGCUCAACUGUAGAACUGCCAUUGAUACUGUCGUUCUUGAGUACACUUGGAGUGGGCGGAAUGUGUCAUGUAGCGGUGAAAUGCUUAGAUAUGACACAGAACACCGAUCGCGAAGGCAGCUCACUAAAUUGUAACUGACGCUCAGGCACGAAAGCGUGGGGAUCAAACAGGAUUAGAUACCCUGGUAGUCCACGCCGUAAACGAUGAUCACUCGAUGUUGGCGAUAUACUGUCAGCGUCUAAGCGAAAGCAUUAAGUGAUCCACCUGGGGAGUACGAUCGCAAGAUUGAAACUCAAAGGAAUUGACGGGGGCCCGCACAAGCGGAGGAGCAUGUGGUUUAAUUCGAUGAUACGCGAGGAACCUUACCUGGGCUAGAACGCUGGGCGACCGUCCGGGAAACCGGAUUUCUCUUCGGAGCGGCCAGCGAGGUGCUGCAUGGUUGUCGUCAGCUCGUGCCGUGAGGUGUCGGGUUAAGUCCCAUAACGAGCGCAACCCCUAUCAUUAGUUGCCAUCAGGUCAUGCUGGGAACUCUAGUGAAACUGCCUACGCAAGUAGUGAGGAAGGUGGGGAUGACGUCAAAUCAGCACGGCCCUUACGUCCAGGGCUACACACGUGCUACAAUGGCCGGUACAAAGGGCAGCUACUUGGUGACAAGAUGCUAAUCUCAAAAACCGGUCUCAGUUCGGAUCGAAGUCUGCAACUCGACUUCGUGAAGUUGGAUUCGCUAGUAAUCGUAUAUCAGCAAUGAUACGGUGAAUACGUUCCCGGGCCUUGUACACACCGCCCGUCA